rnacentral:rRNA from 1 species
UACGGAGGGUGCGAGCGUUGUCCGGAAUCAUUGGGCGUAAAGGGCGCGUAGGUGGCCCGGCAAGCGUGCGGUGAAAGUCGGGGGCUCAGCCCCCGAUCGGCCGUGCGAACUGCGGGGCUGGAGCACUGUAGAGGCAGGCGGAAUUCCGGGUGUAGCGGUGGAAUGCGUAGAGAUCCGGAAGAACACCGGUGGCGAAGGCGGCCUGCUGGGCAGUUUUGCUGACACUGAGGCGCGACAGCGUGGGGAGCAAACAGG